GACCGAACCCAGGGCCUUGCACUUGCUAGGCAAGCGCUCUACCACUGAGCUAAAUCCCCAACCCCUUCCAGCUGAAUUCUUAAGGAUAACUGCCUCUUCUCACAAAAAUUCUCUCCAAUGUUAGGGCCUGGGUUAGGUGAUGGCUUAGCUUGUUUGCCUCUCUGCUUCCUGGCUGUCUUUCCUAAUGUCUCGUUAGCAUACAUCUUGGAGAACCCCAUGAGUGACAGGUGUUCCCUGCCUUCCUUUCUUCCUCCCCAUUGGAGUGGCCCGGCCUUGACGGAAUCAGUGCCUGUUGAAUGAAUGAACCAACCAAUUAGAAACCCAAGUGACUUCUGAAAACACAGGCAGCCCAGAAGAAGGACUCCGUAAGGGCCAUCCAGAAGACCAGACUCUGGGCAGCUAACACAGAGGGUGUGUUACACACUGUGAGUGGGAACUCAGGUCUCCUACUCCUCCCCACUAUUGCUGAACAAAUUAGCCUGAUCAUGGCUAAACCUUGCUGGAGGACCCAUGGGCUUGACCCUUGGCCCUCUCUGUGGCCCUCCAGACCCUAAACUUUGCCUUUUGGGAAAGCCUACUUUCCUCUUUUAUGAUGUCAAAACAGCCAAGACCUAACCUGUUAGCCUGUUAGAAAUGUGUGCAAAACACAGGGGAAGGAGCCACAAGAAAAAGCUCCAAGCAUCCCCUCUGAAUAAGGUUCACAAACACGGUUUUGUGACACGUAUUUUGACUGCCCAGAGGCUUUUUAAAAAUUGUUCCCUUUCCUGUACUUUUACUCAAGGUCGGAUUUAUGAAAUUAUUGAACAGCUAAAUCAUCGGCUAGCAAGGCUGGCAUUUUUGUCAAUAGAAACCAUGACACAUCUGCUGGGAAGUUGGGAGUAAAAGCGCCGUGCACUGGAAAAGGCAUCCUGUCUGCUGUUUUGCCUACGAGAGGGUCACCCUGAAAGCCCUCUGAUUUAGAUCCUUUAAGACGUAGGAAGGCAAUUUAACCAUGAGAAGGGCCUCUUGUUUGCUGGCAGUUUUGCACACACGAAGGCAGCUGCUUUGGGGCCCUGCCCUCACUCACCACCUCUUCCCCUCUGGAAGAUGCUAGCUCUUCGGUUUGCCACGUACAAGAGCUUCACCGUGUCUUCUCCAGAGGUUAGCUAUGGCCAACCUUUCUGCACCCUAACAGUCCUGCCCCCACAGGGCCCUUAGACUGUUCCAUGUGUGGGCGGAGUCCCCCAGCCAGCACCUGUACCCUCUGCCACCUGCAAGCUCUUUGGCAGGCAGAUGCCAGGUGGAGGCAGUCAGCGGCACAGGAGAGAUUGUUCUGGGUAGUUACUGCUAGCAAGGGACCAUAUUCCAUCUCCUGCCAUCAGAAUAAUCUGUCCUCUGCUGGGGGUGCCUCAGAGGAACAAUGAGCAGGUGAGGCUCAGCAGAUGGCACUGCAGCUGGGGUGACUAGGAGCUAUAGGGCAGAGAUGCCAUCUUGCCUCAGUGCAGGAGGUCCUGCUUCAGUGCCUGAUGAGUCCGCCACAGUGCCCAGUGGCUUGUGCUGUGAACCCAGAAACACCGCCCACCCCCACCUCCGUUUAUGGCAAAAUUGGGUCUCCUUAGGAAAGGGUUGGUUUUCCUACUCCGUUUGUUCUCAGAUUGGUGUUAUACCCUGGAGCCAAAUUAGUGGCUAAGAACAAUUGGAAACAAAUGCUCUUUCAGCAUCCCCACUGUGAUCUGGGGAUCCAGGUGGGGACACCAGCCACUCAGUUGUUUUCUCCACUGAGCCACCCCUCUGCUCAGAGUCAGCAUCCCAGAACCAUUUAGCACAGCCAAAGUCCCUCGUCAUCAACCAGCGCUGUGCACAUCUGCCUAACUCUGGAGCCCUGUUCAGUUAUUUAUGAAACAAUAUUCAGGGCCAGCCCCAAGAGGCGAGUUGGGAAAUAAUGAAUGGGAAGUGCCUUAAUGUUAUUUGGAGGGGCUCUGGGACUCCUCUGAGAUGCACAGGAUGGCUGAUUUGGUCUGGACCGAAUACCAACAUCUCUUCAUUCCAGUACUGCGCUAAGGACCAUGACUAGCCACACUGCCCACCACUGUACAGGUAUAUUCCCUCCAAAGGGACCUAGUAAUAGAAAGGCCUGGGAAUGCUUGGUGGAGAGAACCUGCCUGCUAUUGCCUCUCCAUACUUCACCCCAGGCUUGUUCAACCUUUGAUGUCAUGACAGGAUGCUGCCGUUUAUAAAAGUCCACAUCAGAGAACUCACAAUGCUUUAUGCUUCUGAUUUUUGCGUGGGACAGCAUUCAUUGCUAUCCUUGGCUGCUAUCCUCGACCCGAGGACUAAGAACAUACCUCUAGAGUAUAGGUUCCUGCAGGUAAGAGAACUAGCUUUGACAUCCACCAUUGAUCUCAACCUUGCAAAACAUAUUUUAUACAUAAAUGAAUUCCUGGUGUGGCUUCCCAUUUGGGAUUCCCUAAAUAAAUCCUGCCCCCUAACCCAAAAUGUGAAAUAAAAAGGGGGUUUAGUUUCGUUUUGUUUAUUGGUUGGUUGCGAUUUUGGGGCAGGGUCUCAUGAUGUGGUCAAGGCUGGCCAAGAACUUGUCCUGCCUCCAGAGUGCUGACAUGAAAGAGUUAUGCUAUCACUUCCAGACAUGCUCUGUCCUAACUUGGCUCCUACUUUGAGCCAGCUCUAAACUGCAGCCUGUCUUCUGUGGUGACUGACUCCUAGGCUGACAGGCGCUGACCCUUGCUGCAGAUGCCCCCUCUGCCCUUGUGACCCUGGGUUAGUCCUUAUUGCUCGUUGGUGGCAAAAAUGCUGUACGUUGCCUGCUCUGCUUCCCUUGAUGAAUCCUCAGAUUGUCACUUUCUCUUGUCACACAGCUGAGAAUUCUAUGCAAAGUAAAGCCAGAUGCCAGUGGGGACUUGUUAGCACAAAGACAUGCAUUUGUUCUGCCCCGGGGCUGAGCCUCCUGGGUAGGCUGUAUUUACUUUUCUUUUGGAGCCAGACCCCUCUCCAGAGGGGACUUUGGGGCCUCUUCACUUCUAACCAAAUGAGGAAUGUCCAGGGUCAUCCUGCAGCUGACCUUUCUCCUGUGUCACAUGGCUUUGUUCCCCAAAGCAGAAGCAAUUUCUUCCCUCCCCCUCCAUGCCUGCUCCACAGUUUCUCUUGCUUGUAGCCAAACAGUAUCCCACCAAGAAUAUUUACUUGCACCAGAGACAGCAGUUUAAUUUUCCAAAAUGUAUCGGGAUGCCAUUGUUGAAUUUUUACAAUGUCUUUACAGCCAAAGCAAGCCUAAACAUUUGAGUUGAGGCCAACAGAUUUAUCGAUACUCUGUUCAAAGUUUCUUGGAAUCUUAGCCCUUUUCGGCUAAAUAUGCACCUAGUGGAAAUCUUUCCUUCUGACUUAUAACUCUGCAAAGGCGGAGAUCCUUAAAAUCUUGCUAUCAUUCGUAGCAUGUUCCCGGAAUAACAUGCACACCCAUCUGGAUAAAAAUCUAAGAGGCUUGUAGGCAUCCGAAACUUAAAGGCUGUUCUUGCUCCAAUCCAGCCACUUGGUCCAAAAGAUGAAGAAAUUGAGGUUCAGAGAGUUGGAAUGGUGUGUGCGGGGUCCUAAGACUAAGGUGACGAAGGCCGUUCUUUGUAUCGUCCAACCCUCCCACACACCAAGCUGCUCAGCACCACAGGACAUUAAGAGGCUAAGAGUUUUAACCCACUCAUCUUCUCUCAGCCUCCCAUUCCCUUCCCUCUUUAGACUCUCUGCUCAUCCUGUAUUGUUGUGGAUACAUUCCUAGACUGUCUCUGAUUUCAGACCAGAAGGUUGGUUUUCCCCUUCCCCCACUAGGCAGUCCUCCCCCUCUGUUUUAAAAUCCUAAAUAAUUUCAUAAGUCAUUUCCCACCCCUUCAGAGUCACGUUGGUUUGGGGUCCUACCACGAAACACAGCCUUCCAGGUUGACCCUCAGCUUUGGCAGGUUUUUGCAUUUGGGAGUAGGCAGUCCUCACAUCCUUUCUUAUACUCCUUCCUUUGUGGCUUCAGGGACUUGGGGGUUCCCUGGAAUCUCUGCCAACAAUCCUUGGCUCCCCUUGUCUUGCCUUUGGACUUCUGAGAGUGCCCCCCCUUUUCUACUUUUUAAAGCUCCUGGGUGUUUUCUCUCUCCUGAUAGAAAUUAGGGGGUGUUCGUGGUGAUGGUGGUGGUGUGCGCAUGUGUAUAACGUGUGCAAGGUAAAACUAUUUCGAAGAGCACAGAGCACUAAGUAGCAUCACAUUCGUCCGUGAAUUGUGCGGCCUUCACCACCAUCCGUUCACAGAACUCUUCUCACCUUGCAAACUUGAAACUCGCCCUAUUGAACAACUCCCCGGCCAGGCAACUCCACUCCUGGCCCUUGGCAGCCAUCACUCUGCUUUCUGACUGUGGAUUGGACUAUGAGUGGAAUCAAAGAGUAUUUCCCCCUUUUGUGCUGGUUAUUUCACUUAGCACAAUGUCCUCAAGGUUCGCCCAUGUUGUAGCAUAUAUCUUUUUCACCGUUAUGUGUUUCUACCUGUGUUAGUCAGCUGUCUGUCACUGUGACAAAGUGACUGGAGAAAAUAGUUCUAGUAGAGGGGUAACCGUUGUUUUUGAGUCCUGGGCUUAGAGGUUUUAGUCCAGGUCAGGUGGCCCCUGUGUUUUGCAGUGUGGUGGCACAGGGCAUCAUGGUAGGAAUGUAUGCUGAUGGAGGCCUGCUUGGCAAAUGGUGGCAAAGACAGGAAAGGACAGGGUUUCAACAUCUCUUUCAAGGACAUGCCUCCAUUGACCUAAUUUGCUUCACUAGGUCCUAUCUCCCCUCCUUCCAAGUUCUAUCACCUCUCAGUAGUGUCACUGGUUGUGAAGAACCAGCCUGCUUCAGUCUUAAGCUUAAAAGCCAUCGUAUAGUAAACACAAGUGAGGCUCAUUCCUGUUUAUGACUAAGCCUCUGUUUCUCAGGAAUUGGCCUAUGCCCCACCUUUAACCAUAACUACAAACAGCUCUGUACUGUCUGUUCCAGGAAUGGCAAUCAUGCUUUUGUUUCAAAAAGUUGUUUAUAACCAUCUUGGGACCCUAUCUUUGUUUCAAAAGGUUAUCCCACCUAUGACUACCUUGUUAUGAAUAACUACUGACUAC
ensembl:lncRNA